CGUGGCUAAGAGCGGUUCUGAUGGAGGCGCUGGUUUUGCGUGUUCCAAACCACGAAUCGAUCUUAAGCUUCU